AAAAGAAAGACAUCCCCCGAAAUGGAAUACAAGACAUCAACCAAUAUUAAAUAUGUUCUAAAGGGAAAAUUGGAGUCACAGAGUGGACUUUUCCAUAAAUGGUUGGAACAACUGGAUAGCCAUCGAGAAAAGCUAAUGUUGGAUCCACCCGUCACACCACAUACAAAAAUUAAUUUGAGACAGAUCAUAGAUCUAAAUAUAAAGUCUAAACCCACAAAACUUCUAAAUGAACAUGUUGGAGACCAUCUUUGGGCAGAUAAGGAUUUUUUUUAGGACACAAAGCCUUAACAAUAAAAGCGGGGGGAAAAGAC